rnacentral:rRNA from 1 species
UACGAAGGGGGCGAGCGUUGUUCGGAAUUACUGGGCGUAAAGGGCGCGUAGGCGGCGAUCCGAGUCAGAUGUGAAAGUCCUGGGCUUAACCUGGGGACUGCAUUUGAUACUGGAUUGCUUGAAUUCGGGAGAGGAUAGCGGAAUUCCCAGUGUAGAGGUGAAAUUCGUAGAUAUUGGGAAGAACACCGGUGGCGAAGGCGGCUAUCUGGACCGACAUUGACGCUGAGGCGCAAAAGCGUGGGGAGCAAACAGG